rnacentral:rRNA from 1 species
UCUGGCGACCGGCGCACGGGUGAGUAACACGUAUCCAACCUGCCCUUUACUCGGGAUAGCCUUUCGAAAGAAAGAUUAAUACCCGAUGGCAUAAUGAUUCCGCAUGGUUUGAUUAUUAAAGGAUUCCGGUAAAGGAUGGGGAUGCGUUCCAUUAGGUUGUUGGUGAGGUAACGGCUCACCAAGCCUUCGAUGGAUAGGGGUUCUGAGAGGAAGGUCCCCCACAUUGGAACUGAGACACGGUCCAA